UACGAAGGGGGCUAGCGUUGCUCGGAAUCACUGGGCGUAAAGCGCACGUAGGCGGAUCGUUAAGUCGGGGGUGAAAUCCUGGAGCUCAACUCCAGAACUGCCUUCGAUACUGGCGAUCUUGGAGUCCGGGAGAGGUGAGUGGAACUCCGAGUGUAGAGGUGAAAUUCGUAGAUAUUCGCAAGAACACCAGUGGCGAAGGCGGCUCACUGGCCCGGUACUGACGCUGAGGCACGAAAGCGUGGGGAGCAAACAGG
rnacentral:rRNA from 1 species